UCUUUCAUGAUUCGGUGGGUGGUGGUGCAUGGCCGUUCUUAGUUGGUGGAGCGAUUUGUCUGGUUAAUUCCGAUAACGAACGAGACUCUGGCCUACUAACUAGACGUCGGGUCCUUUAUGGGUCCGGCGACGCUUCUUAGAGGGACGGGCGGCUUUUAGCCGCACGAGAAUGAGCAAUAACAGGUCUGUGAUGCCCUUAGAUGUUCUGGGCUGCACGCGCGCUACACUGAAGAAAUCAGCAUGUGUUCCUACUCCGAAAGGAGCGGGAAACCCGUUGAACCUUCUUCGUGAUGGGGAUUGGGGAUUGCAAUUAUUUCCCAUGAACGAGGAAUUCCCAGUAGGUGCGAGUCAUCAGCUCGCGCCGAUUACGUCCCUGCCCUUUGUACACACCGCCCGUCGCUACUACCGAUCGAGUGAUUUAGUGAGGACUUCGGACUGGUCUUCGAGGUGGCUUUCGGGUCGUUUCGGAGUACCGGAAAGAUGCCCAAACUUGAUUACUUAGAGGAAGUAAAAGUCGUAACAAGGUUUCCGUAGGUGAACCUGCGGAAGG
rnacentral:rRNA from 1 species